GAGCAACCGCCGGCGGAACGGGUGUCAUUGAUGUUGACAAGCAGAGAAUAUAUUCUGUUGCUUU
rnacentral:tRNA from 1 species